ensembl:lncRNA
UCGACCGCUGUUCCCUUAGGCUCAGAGGCACACGCAGGUCAACAUGUUUCUGCAAUAUUAUCAGGAAUGUAAACUUGUGUUCAACCGGCAAAGGAAUUUGAAUAAUGCAUUGGACAGUGUAUACUGAAGUAUGUGUGAAACACAUGAUCCAUUGAAAUGACACACAAUGUUGUUCUUCACUUCGAUUAACAAGGAGUUAUUGUGUGUGUGUGUGUGUGAGGAAAAAGCUAUCUUAGCUCUUCUUUUUUUUUUUGUUGAUAAGCCUAAAGCCAAUACUUUCAUUAUCAUCGGUGUCAGUACAGAGAAGUUUUGUUUUGCUGGUGCGACUAAUAAUACUGAUUGUGUUGAACUCCAAACCAAACCCAUUGGAUUUAAUAGUGGAAGAUGCAGAAAUGUAGGACUAAUUUUAGCAUCUGAUUUAAGCCAGAAAUAUAAAGACUUCAAAGACUCCUCCAGGGUUUUUGCAUAUUAAAACCAAAACUCUCAAUGAAAUGUGUUAGUUCAUUCCAGGUAAAAUGUACACAAUCUAUCCUCACUUGUGGCUGGUGUUUCCAGAGGCUGGAGAGGAGGUUUGAGUAUGCAGGCCCAGUGUUCUCACCUCCCACGAUCCAGAGUGUCAGAGAUGGCAAACCUCUACUCUCUGGCCACUGGACGACCUCCAUGCCCGACGGACCCUCCCAGGAGCCUGUGAACUUUGACCCUGAUCGCAUCAGCGCCUGGCUGGGACAGACGCACGGACACACCGUCCCCUCUAUAGCCCCCUCGGUCCAACCGCACAGAGCCUGCUCCAAGGCUGUCCAGACCGACAGUACUUGGAAGUGUGCUGGUUGCUCUGAGGGAAGCCACAGUCUCAGGUACAUCCCUGUUCAGACACACCUCCAGGAGCUGUGUUUGACCCCCUACACCUUACAGUCAUGUGACCUCCAGCUCAAGUCUGAUAGGAUGGCUUGUAGACUUCAGUUAAACCCACAGUCUCCAGAGGAAGAGCCGCACUGCAAUGCCUCAUGGGAGGUGGUCCAUAGUGAGCAACGGCCAGAUGAGUGCCCUAACAGACAAACCAAGUUCCGCUUGUGGCCCCUGGGGGCCGUGUGGGUACUAAAGACUCUGAGGAGCCCAGUGUUCCUGGUCGUCCUGCUGGCUGUGUUCCUAGCCCUGCUGGUCUGGCCCACAACACUCAUGGACCCAGAGUGCCACCGCUCCAACUCCCUGGCCCGCUCCUUCCAACUGGCCCUGAGCUACGUCAAUGGGCCCCCGCCAACCUGAGGGACAAAAGUGUCACAGAUGGGGCACAACACACCCCUGGUGAGCCUGGAACACACCUGAUUCAGGGUCGGACAGUCCCAGAAUGCCUUUGCAUUUCAGAGCCUUCCGUAAUGCAUUAACAAGGAGGCUGUAUGAGAAAAGCGAGAAAUGAAGAACUGUUGGGCCCAAUCAAAAUGUUUGCUUGGUAUUUAUCUGAAUCCCUCCACCAACCUGCUGGCAGAAGUGGCCCAUGACUUAAUGGGCCUGAUUUGUAACGAUCUCUAAUGGCAUUCAUAAUGUGUCUUACUAUGCCAGGGUAGCACUUUUGUUGAUUGGUCUGUCAUGAUGGUUUUGUAACUUCUUUAUGUGGGUGAUUUAGAAUCUAUAUGGAAGACUUGAUGGCAAAUGCUUUGAGCAUUUCUCUUUGGGCAUUUGAUGAGACAAAGUACAAAUUUAUCUGCAUAUCAAUAUUUAUUAUGUCAAACCUGAAGAGAGCUUUUGAUUUAUCCGGUUCUAUCUGCAUUUAUGUCAAAAUUGAGUUAUUGACAUAACCUUGUUCUGUUCUCUACCUAUUUAGUACUUUAAAUACCCCAAUUUAUGUUAAGUUCAAAAGAGUGCAAGAUAACAUUGCUGACGCCAUUCAAACCAAUGCAGGUUCAGGAACUUUUUAAAGCCAAUUAUCUCAGAAUUAUAUUUUUGCAAAUAGAUCGUUUUAGUCCCAAGCUCUCAAUUUCUCAUGGGAUUUCUGCAGAUGAAUGAUACUGAAUGCCCGAGUUCGGAUUUACUAGGGAGACGUGCGGAAAUACCCCAUGUGUAAGUAAUUUGUAGGUCAAUGGGAUAGGUGACCUGGCUAAUGCACUUACAGUAGGAUAAAUUAGCAGUCAUUUUGUACUGCUGCAUGUGUGCGAUCUUGUUUGCGAUCUUGUUUGCAUGUGUGAGGGUUGUUAGUAUAUACUCAAUAAAUGUAUUUUACAUAUGCUGCGAUGCCAAAGGGGUCCAGCUGGAAAACAAUCAGCCAAAAGCCAAUGCAUCUGAGGCCAGUGAAGACAGUGUAAGCCUCUAAAUAUAAUGUAUGUGUUAUGUAAUGGUUUAUGGUCAGUGCUUCUAUUUUUGACACAGUGGAUGCAAUCCUGGAUCUCAUCUAUACAAUGUCACAAAUGUAAUGUCAAAGUCUGAUGUAAAUAAAAAUACAAAAUGUAAAAUGCAUUUUUACUCCAUAAUAUUAUGAGGUACAUGCACCUCAUCUGAAAAUGUUGAAAUAUGUCUGCCUUGUGCUUGUGGGGGAGUGAUUGCACAGAGUUUUGAUUCUUGUCCGUCCAGUGUGUAUCAGCGUGGAAAUGUUGCGAAAUGUAACAAGUCAGAUGCCUCCGCUUCUUGCAUUAAUGGAGGAUUUUUAAUCUUCCGCUUUAUACAGUAGAGAGGAUGUCUGUUUUUUAUGUGGAGUUCCAGAUCUGUACAUGCAUCAUGAAAUAAAAGAACAGUGUGAGAA